AAUUGGGAUGCCAAUCAUUUAGUCACCAAUACCAAUAGUAAUCCACUAUCUCACUUGAAGGACAUUAUCAUACUCUGCAGCACAUCUGACAGUAAGAGGCACUAUAUCUACUACAAUGCCACAACUGUAUAAGGCUAUUUGCUCUCUUAUCAUACUCUAAAAUUCUCUAAAACAUCAUCUCACAGGCUAUGAAUAUUAUUCCUA
rnacentral:misc_RNA from 1 species